UGGGGAAUAUUGCACAAUGGGCGAAAGCCUGAUGCAGCGACGCCGCGUGAGUGAAGAAGUAUUUCGGUAUGUAAAGCUCUAUCAGCAGGGAAGAUAAUGACAGUACCUGACUAAGAAGCCCCGGCUAACUACGUGCCAGCAGCCGCGGUAAUACGUAGGGGGCAAGCGUUAUCCGGAUUUACUGGGUGUAAAGGGAGCGUAGGUGGCAUAGCAAGUCAGAUGUGAAAGCCCGGGGCUUAACUCCGGGACUGCAUUUGAAACUGCUAAGCUAGAGUACAGGAGAGGCAAGUGGAAUUCCUAGUGUAGCGGUGAAAUGCGUAGAUAUUAGGAGGAAUACCAGUGGCGAAGGCGGCUUGCUGGACUGUUACUGACACUGAGGCUCGAAAGCGUGGGGAGCAAACAGGAUUAGAUACCCUGGUAGU
rnacentral:rRNA from 1 species